ACGCCGCCGCCGCCGCCGCCGCCAUGCACCCCAGGACCCGGCCUUCGAAGGGCCGCCUUCCUCCCCAGGCCUAGGGAUCGGGCUCGCGGUUAAGGAGCUCCAGCCCCGGGGCCGGGUGGCCCACAUGUGGGAGCGCAUUGUUUCCCCUGCCAGGCUCCCAGGCUCCAAGACCAAGACGCGCACCAGCACCGAGGCUCUGCUGACCCACCGCUUGUCUCUAAUUCUUGCCUGACACAGACAUUCCCUGCCCAGGGAAGUGUUUGAUUUAUGUUGAGGUUCGAGUGUCGGGAUUUUGCUGACAGGUGGGCACGCUGAGGCCCAGAGAAGUAAAGUGAUUUGCUCAAGGUGACCGGUGGAGCUGGGACUUGCACCUGGGCUGGAAUCACCCCAGAACAUCUGGCAGCCACAGCUUCGUGUGCAAACUUGCUGGAAGCCUUGUUGGGGAAGCUCUGCCCAGAUGGUGAUGAGACCCAGAUCUGCCCAUCUUUUGUGACAUCUCAGACUCUUUUUCUGGAAGGCCCACUUGGUCAUCUGGUCCCAACAGCUGGGACAGCUGUGGCACAGCGAGUGCAGGUGACUUGUCUGAGCCGGGCCAGGAAAGGGCAGAGCUCAGCCUCCCCUCUGUGAGAAACAGGCAGUUCUAGCAGUAGAGACAGUGAUGGGGGACUCGGUUUCCUAGUCACUGUCAUGUCCAAUGGCCAGUAACCGUGAACUCUUUCCUCCUUUUCCUUCCACCCAGCAAAUGCAACAUCCAGAUGCAGCCAGUUGUGAGGAGAAUAUUUCCAUAGAAAUUCUGCAAUAUGGAUAUCCUCUCUAGGCCCCAGUCCAGCCUGAGCAGCUCCUCUUCUGGCUGGGAAGUUUCUUUCC